AAUUGGUCAAUCACAUGAUCCACAGCUUUGUUGUUGAUAGCUUAACAUGAUCUCAGCCCUGAAUCAUAUCACAGAGGGGUUGUAGUUGCAGCAGUCAUCCAAAGAGAAAGCAACAGCAUAAAGCUUCCAUGGCUGCAAAUGACAAACAAGAUCACCUUCUUCAACAAUAUAAUAUAAGUUA